rnacentral:rRNA from 1 species
AGUGAACGCUGGCGGUAGGCCUAACACAUGCAAGUCGAACGGCAGCACAAUAAGAGCUUGCCCUUAAGGGUGGCGGGUGGCGGGCGGGUGAGGCGUACAUAAGAUUCUACUUUUUCGUGGGGGACAUCGUAGAGACAGUUACGCUAAUACCGCAUACGUCCUACGGGUGAAUGCAAGAGAUCUUCACACCUUGCGCGACUGAUUGAGCCGAUGUCGGAUUAGCUAGUUGGCGAGGUAACGGCCCACCAAGGCGACGAUGCGUAGCUGGUCUGAGAGGAUGAUCAGCCACACUGGAACUGAGACACGGUCCAGACUCCUACGGGAGGCAGCAGUAGGGAAUAUUGGGCAAUGGGCGCAAGCCUGACGGAGCAAUGCCGCGUGAGUGAUGAAGGCCUUCGGGUCGUAAAACUCUGUUGUUGGGAAAGAAAAGCUGUAUAUUAAUACCUGGCUGUUUUGACGGUACCCAAAGAGAAAGCACCGGCUAACUUCGUG